rnacentral:tRNA from 1 species
GCCCGGAUGGCGAAAUCGGUAUACGCAGCAGACUCAAAAUCUGCCUCCCGCAAGGGAUUGUCGGUUCGAGUCCGACUCCGGGCA